ensembl:lncRNA
AUGAUGCUACUUUGUGGCAUGGGUGGUGCUGCACAGCUGAAAGUUGCAUUCUGGGUUAUUGCUCUGGAUCCAGAGAGGCAGCUUCAUGGACAGUGUUGUGCAGCCUUCUUCAGCCUUACCUGGCCACUGCCCAGUAAAAUCUAUGUUAAGGUCCAUCUUCCCUGGGGCUGCAGGCCAGCCCCAGCCACCCAAGCAAAAUGCUGCUUUCACCAAUUUUCAGUAAGAGGCUUCAUCCAGUCAAAAGAGUGGAAAGAAGCAAACUGCCCAACUGCUCCUGUGCUGUUUGGUUUGCUGGUAGGGAGCUCCUUGGCAGCUUCACUUACCUGCCUCAGUGACCGGAGUUGUCUCUGCACAUGUUCAUGCACCGUGUUUCGCACCACCCUGAGGGGAAUGCAUUGGGUUCACCCUCCUGGGACAAAGAGUUCAAAUCCAGGUCUUCAGGAUCCUAGUGAAAAGAGGAAGGUCUCUGAGGCUCCAAGGACCGGCAGUUGUUUCUUCCAGAGAUGGCAGCAGACUGGUGAUAGGGAUGCUCCAGUUAGAUCUGCGUCCGUAUCUCAAGUGUUAAGGCUUGCGUUCUUGCAAAACCAGUUCCCAAUUGUUGCUGUGAGUAACAUGUAA